rnacentral:lncRNA from 1 species
CUGGUUUACUGUAAGUUGUACGUUUUGUUUUUUUCUGGCAUUUACGUUCUAUGAGUUUGGAGACAAUACAUUUCAAAAGGCAUUAAAAAAUGUUUUCAUGCAGACUGGUACAAUGUAUAGCAUCUGAUAAAUUCUCUAUUUUUUUUAAAAUUCGUAACAUUUCGACACAAAACAAAAUGUUCAUUAUCUUUUAUGAAAACAAAU